GUGGAGGAUGGAGUGGUGGGAGAUCAAAGUACAGUACCUAAGAAAAUAUCAGGAGCUCUCAAGUGAAAUGAAUGUACAGAGGUACAGGGGGCAGAUUAACAAAACCAUUACGAAGAAAAGAUCCAACCAGCAAAGACAAUGCUCAUCUCCUCUUCUUGAAGGCACCCCAGGCUUCGCCAGUCAUUCACGGUGUAUUUCUCUUGUGCUUUGGGUGAGGCGGGAAGAGAAGCACCCAUCUCCCUCGAAACUCUACUAGACUGAAAACACACGAUGCAGACGGGUCUCUCCUUCCUCUUUCCUCAAGCAUCCAUUGAUGAAUGUUCAUGCUGGUGGUACCUGGAAGCACCGGGAGGAAGAAAGAUGGGAAGUGUGCAGGCGGUCUGGGAGUGCAUGCUCCACUUCUCUGUGAUGGAUGCAGCAUGAUGUGAGGGGAAGACCAGAACGUUUGGAGCAGGUCGGAGCUGAGUUCGAAUCUUGUCACAGCCACAUAAUAACUAUAACUUGGCCAAGUUACUUGGUAUCUCCAGCUUUUAUUUCAGUUGCAUAACAGAGGUAAUAAUACCUUCCUUAGAACAUGAUCAUGUGUAAAACAGAGAUAUUGUUGAAGUGCCAAGUACCAAAGUGUGUUCUGGAGAUCACUUACCUCCAGGAGACGUAAAUCUGUGCUCUCAGAACUAAAGUCCCCAUGGUCAAAUAAAUGUGGGAAAAACCACUUUA